CCACUUUCACUAUACCUCGGGAACCACCUCCAUCUCCAGCAGAAGUGAAGUUCUUUCCCAAGAAACAAAGAUCAAAGGGGAAAAGCAGAAGGUCAAGAGGACAUCAUGAUAGGAAGGUCUGUAAUUUGUGUGACUAGUUGAAAUUUAGGAUCUGUCACCUGAUGUCCCUUCCUUUUGCUGCAGGGCAAAAGUAUGGGUGACUGCUUGACAGCUGGAGAUGGCAACAAAAGUUUCCUGAAAUUUCUUUUAGGAAAAAAAAAAAAAAAACGUGGUUCAUUUAAAGUGAAAACCCUUUUUUGCCUUCUUUU
rnacentral:sRNA from 1 species